rnacentral:rRNA from 1 species
UAGAUAAAGACACGGUGGUUGAGUGUUCGAUGGAGCCCUAGGAGAGUAAGAGGGGACGGGUUAGGGGAGCAAGGGGUGGAUGGUGUCGGUCUACGGGCUAGGUUUUUAGGUCGGUCUAGCUAGGUAGGCGCAGAGGAGAGGAGGAGGACACGGAGCUAGGUCCCACCUAGCUCUCGUCGCGGCGGGCCGGGGCUGGUGGCACGGCGGUCGAGCGGCAGUCGUCGAGGUUCGAGGAGGUCCGGCCGGGGAAGUGCGGGACGGAAGAGAAGAAAUAGGGGGACGAAGAGAGGGAGAGAUUAGAGAGAGAGAAAACGAGGGUCCCUUGGCUUGCUUCGAGGAGCACCUUGCGGGAGAAGCAGCGGCCUCUAGGAGCUCGAUUGGCCUCGGCACCCGCUCGAGGAGGUGGUAAAGGGGGACGGAAAAAGGGAGCGUAGCGAUAACUAAAGGGGGCAGAACAGCAGCAAAACAACGUGUCCUCUCGUCGGUACCGGCACCCGUUGCUCGAGGAAGCGAGCGCAGGCACUGCAGCAGUCGGGCACCCGGGGUGGAGGACGGCGCAGGCGGCAGACGGAGGAAGGGGCGCGGCUCUGGGCGACGGCAGCGGGAGACGAAGGGGACGUAGCUCGUACCGAGCUAGGUCAGUCCGCGCAACUGGCACGGGCGUCGCGCAGCGAAGGCACACCGGAGCCCUCGCGGUUCAGAGCGGCGUCGGGCGUUCCGGGUCGGCCGGACGGGGUCGCGGGAGAGGUGCCAAGACCCGAACAGGGUACCACUCUCUUGGGGUUCGGCGUGGGUGACGAGGACAGCCCGGUCGGUCUAAGCCGGGUAUAGUACAAAAAAAGGUCGCAGAUGCUUAAACAGGUAAUAGGUCUCGUAACGUCAAAAUGUCUUUUGGGGGGAUCAACAGUACGUAUAUUAUUGAGUGUUAAGCACGUAGCCUAAUUUUACUAAAUAUAUACUUUGAACGAGUCUUAAAACAGAUCAAAUUAUUAUACAGUGAAAGUGGGUACAAAUUUUACGAAUUUUACAACAAACCAAUUUAAACGAGGAUACGGUACAAUUUUACUAAAUUAAGUAUUGAUUUAUUGGCAUUGAGGCUAAAAUUAUUUGAAAUAUACAUUUACCCCAUCUUUUUACGGAUCAAAUUGUACCACUGGAAAUAAACGUACAAUUUGUUGGGAUUUUAACACAAAUCCCGUCUUGUCCAGGAUUAGAUUUUAUACGUAUACCCCUAAAUGGCCUUAAACAACAAACAACAAGGGCCGGAGUAAAUUUGAACUGAUCUAUCCAUCAAAACGAAACGAAGUGAGAGAACGGUACAAAUUGUUGUAAAUUAUAACAACCCAUGUAUUUCUUCUAGCUUGAUUUAUUAACUACACCACGAAGCAGUUAUACGUUGAGCAACGUAUAACUCGAGGUGAAUUGAACAUCCCAACAAACACGUGAAACAGUACGGUACGAAGUAAUUUGGCCUGUACGUAGUAUGAACUAACACGUAGUACGGUACAGAUACACCACCAACAAAUGGUACAACAAACGAAGAAAGGCCACAACGAAGAAGCCCAACCAAGGCUAUUGUAGUACUAACACUCCUGGGCAAGCCGAUGCAGGCAAACAGAAGAAGUACCUGAGCAAGAAGAAGGAACGCCCUAGAGUCAAACGUCCACGGCUACAAUGGCUCGUCCACUGCGUUGGUUCGAGUCCUCCUCGAGCUACGUCUAGAACAGGAAACACCACAAAGCAAGAUCAACUAGUCAUCACCUCGGGUCAACCCCAACUAGCCCCUGGACAACAGCGUAAACCCCAAGAAGAAAAUAAAACCGAGGCAUCAGCCCGGAACUAACAUAGACUAACUACAUUACGAAAUAAGUACAUUAACCCACUUCACCGCUAACAUUCAUUUGAUACAUAGAGAAAAGGGGAUAACAUAAUGUACCCAACACACUUCUAAUGGAGUGAACGCUGUAUACGAAAGUUACGCCAAUACGGAGAUUCAGCACGAAGCUGUGCACCCUCUAUAUCGGUGUAGCUCCCGCAAUGUUGGCUCAUGUGGUUAUGACCGCUGAAGUAGGGAUUCGACUUGCUCUUACCGCGGCUUCACGGUGGUCUCACCAAGCCAGACUUGGGCCGACUGUCGCUCCUGAGCCGUCUCCUCUAACGGAGGUCGCUGCUCUCCCUUCUGUUCCUCCUGCUCCUUCUACUUCUGCUGCGCGGCCUCCAGCCUCACCUGCCGGUCGGAGCUCAGCUAGCGCGGAGGUCGUGGCUUGGAGCACGUUCUUGCAGCUGACGACGACUUCCGCUGGUGGGGCUCACU